UACGUAGGGGGCUAGCGUUGCUCGGAAUCACUGGGCGUAAAGCGCACGUAGGCGGCUUAUUAAGUCAGAGGUGAAAUCCUGGAGCUCAACUCCAGAACUGCCUUUGAUACUGGUAAGCUUGAGUUCGGGAGAGGUGAGUGGAACUGCGAGUGUAGAGGUGAAAUUCGUAGAUAUUCGCAAGAACACCAGUGGCGAAGGCGGCUCACUGGCCCGAUACUGACGCUGAGGUGCGAAAGCGUGGGGAGCAAACAGG
rnacentral:rRNA from 1 species